GCUGAUGAUGGUUUAGUGGUUAGCACGCCUGCCUCGCACUUCUGGGGUUGUGGGUUCGAAGCCCACCUCCGCC